rnacentral:rRNA from 1 species
AUGAUUGGAAAGGCUCUUUCCAAGCAUAAGCUUUUCAAGGAACCUAAGAACCGGAACCUCCCCUCCCCCUCCUGUGACGCUCCCGCGGGCGUCCAGGGGGCAACCCUAGCACCGCCGCCGGUCCCCCCUCCUGCUCUCCCUCCUCCCUCGCCGCCGCCCGGGGGCGCGAGCGGGCGAAGCCCGCUCGUCGCUGGCGGCAGCGGGGCCUUCUCGUCUCUGCGCGUGGGUGUUUCGGCGCGUGUGCCGUUGCCCGGCCAGGCCCUUGCGGCAGGUCGACGUCGCACGUCGCUGGAGACUCCCCUGGUGGCCAUACAUGGAUGCGGCAGAGGGCUCUGCUUCCUCAUUAGAUUAAAUUUUGGUGUUGCAUUGUUGAGCACUUCAUGUGAAUGUUCUCUAGUCUCUAUUGUGCAGGGGGUUCUACUCUCCCUCUUGAGGCAAGUGUGGAUGUAA